AUAGGGUUGUCAUGAGUUAUGGAUUUUUUUAGCUGGCAGGAAAAGAUAGUCCCUACUAAAUGCACUAAUUUGUCAGCGUCUCUACCAAAAUUCUGAUUAUUCAUACUGUGUUUUCUAGCAAUCUUGUUUCCCAAUAUGGCUGAUUCCAAUUCCUUAAGAUACUGUUCAGAAUUUUCUUUUAAUUGUCUGUGCUAUUUGAUGCAUACAGUUAGGUCGGUUGUGGGGUUCUAUUAACGCUUUUGUGAGUUUAUUUGGCGAUGAUCAAACUUAAUGGAUUUCAGGACAAAUAUGAAGUAACUCUUGUAAUAAAGAUGUAUUUAUUUCAUUUUUCUGUUAUGCCAGGUCACCAAGUGUAAGCAUGAGUUUCAUUUACAGUGUAUCCUUGAAUGGUCACAGAGAAGCAAAGAAUGUCCAAUGUGUUGGCAGCUUCUUGUCUUAAAGGAUCCUUUGAGCCAAGAGUUGUUAGCUCCAGUCGAGAACGAGAGGAAUUUGAGGUCUAUGCAUAAUGUUCAUCACAUCCAUGAGAACAUUGAAGUCAAUCAUGUGAGUCAUAGAAACCAACUUAAAACUUGUUCAAUGAUCUUUUCGAAGCUGGGUUAAAAGCACUGCUGUCAGCCAACUUACAACAUUCUUUCACUUUAGCACUGAACUGUCUUCUUUUCCAAGGUAGUCACUCAAUUUUCAUUUUUGUCUCAUUUUGGGUAAUUCUACUGAACUAAAGUGCAUGGUAAUGGCAAUGAUGAUAUGGCCUGGAAAGUACGUUAGUGCAUAAUUUUUAUUAUUGUCUAGCUAGGCAAAAAAUUGUAUUGUUGAACAAGCCGUGCUUUUCAAAUGCUCUUUUAUGAAGAAACAAAACAAGGAAAGAAGGGGGAAAAGGAGUGGUUUCUAACAACACACCUUUUUGCCUAGUUCGGCAACAAAAAAAAUGCACCUGUGAAUUUUCAUGCCACAUCAUCUUUUGUGUUAAUCCAACAAACAUGAGUAGAAAAGUGCCUAAAUGGAAACAAAAUGAAAGUUGAAUGCCUAACAAAAAAAGGUUUGAUGUCUAACAUGAAACACUAUUUGUUCAGUGACUAGCAGUGUUUUUCACCCUUUCAAAGUUAAUUUUUC